rnacentral:rRNA from 1 species
AACGAACGCUGGCGGCAGGCUUAACACAUGCAAGUCGAACGCCCCGCAAGGGGAGUGGCAGACGGGUGAGUAACGCGUGGGAACAUACCCUUUCCUGCGGAAUAGCUCCGGGAAACUGGAAUUAAUACCGCAUACGCCCUACGGGGGAAAGAUUUAUCGGGGAAGGAUUGGCCCGCGUUGGAUUAGCUAGUUGGUGGGGUAAAGGCCUACCAAGGCGACGAUCCAUAGCUGGUCUGAGAGGAUGAUCAGCCACAUUGGGACUGAGACACGGCCCAGACUCCUACGGGAGGCAGCAGUGGGGAAUAUUGGACCAUGGGCGCAAGCCUGAUCCAGCCAUGCCGCGUGAGUGAUGAAGGCCUUAGGGUUGUAAAGCUCUUUCACCGAUGAAGAUAAUGACGGUAGUCGGAGAAGAAGCCCCGGCUAACUUCGUG